GUUUCUAUAUAUUGACUGUUGGAAACUGAUUGUUGAAGAAUUGCCUUGGUGAAUUAAACUGUGUCAUAUGGGAAACAAUGUAGCCAUAUGGUGGUCAGAACUAAGGACUUAAUUACAACUGCUUUGGAUAUCCCCUCCCCCCCUGGCAUCUGAUUACCAACCCCCCAAACAUCCUCCAGAGCCAGAGUAGCCACGCCCAUUUCUUACUCCCAAAACUGGUAUAUAGUCAGUAUUUGCACUCCCCCUGCUCUACUGUCCCC